rnacentral:rRNA from 1 species
UACAGAGGGUGCGAGCGUUAAUCGGAAUUACUGGGCGUAAAGGGCGCGUAGGCGGUUAGAUAAGUGAGAUGUGAAAUCCCUGGGCUUAACCUAGGAACUGCAUCUUAUACUGUUUAGCUUGAGUGCAGUAGAGGGUAGUGGAAUUUCCGGUGUAGCGGUGAAAUGCGUAGAUAUCGGAAGGAACACCAGUGGCGAAGGCGGCUACCUGGACUGACACUGACGCUGAGGCGCGAGAGCGUGGGGAGCAAACAGG